AUGCGUGAUAACAACACUAAUAUGCAAUCUUCCCUCAUCGUUCAUCAACACUCACGUAACAACAGAAUCACAAUGAUUCACAGAAAACGCACAAAUAAGAAGAAGAUAGAAGAAGAAGAAGAGGAUAGGAGUACAAGAACCAAGAAAAGAAAACGGAGAAGAAGAAGAGUGGAUAGAAGAAGAAGAACACGAAGGAAAAGCGAAUAG